GUGGUUGUAGUUCAGUUGGUUAGAACGCUGGAUUGUGGUUCCAGAGGUCGCCGGUUCAAAUCCGGUCUACCACCCCA
rnacentral:tRNA from 1 species